UACGUAGGUCGCAAGCGUUGUCCGGAUUUACUGGGCGUAAAGAGCGCGCAGGCGGUCGUUCAAGUCGCGUGUGAAAGCCCCCGGCUCAACUGGGGAGGGUCACGCGAUACUGAUCGACUCGAAGGCAGGAGAGGGUAGUGGAAUUCCCGGUGUAGCGGUGAAAUGCGCAGAUAUCGGGAGGAACACCAGUAGCGAAGGCGGCUCGCUGGGCCACACCUGACGCUGAGACGCGAAAGCUAGGGGAGCGAACAGG
rnacentral:rRNA from 1 species